rnacentral:piRNA from 1 species
UAUAAAACAAAAUUUCAAGCUUUCCACUGC